AUGGGAUUCUAUAGUUUGCAUGCAUCCCUCCAUCAUGAGGUUACUAAACUCCUGUCUAGAUUUUUUUGGGCGGGAGAAAACAAUAAACAGAAGUACCACAUGGUGAAGUGGUCCGAGAUCUGCAACCCUAAGGACCAAGGCGGCCUGGGAGUCCUCUCAUCCAAGCGGAUGAAUAUUGCCCUACUCUCCAAAUGGCUCUGGCGUAUUCAGACCGAUGCGGGAGGCCUGUGGCUCGAGAUUAUCCGUGCAAAAUAUCUUCGCGGUCAGCCACUGGCCUUUGCUCCCAGGUCUGGAGGUUCCCAAUUCUGGCAGUCGGUGAUCCAUUUGAUGCCGGUCUUACGCAUUGGGACCUCUAUUACAGUGGGCUCCGGGUCCAGCACAUUAUUCUGGCUAGAUCGGUGGGCUGGGGCUCGCCCAUUUGCGGAACGCUCUACGCGUUAUUCUCGAUCUGUGUCCGCCCACAGCUCUUUGUAG
rnacentral:rRNA from 1 species